rnacentral:ncRNA from 2 species
AGGAAGCCGGUGCGAGUCCGGCGCGGUCCCGCCACUGUCACCGGGGAGCGGACCCCACGCAGUCGGCCACGGGCGCGAGCCCGGAAGGCCGGGGCGAGCGCCGAUCCGGGAGCCAGGACACU